rnacentral:rRNA from 2 species
AAAUUGAAGAGUUUGAUCAUGGCUCAGAUUGAACGCUGGCGGCAGGCCUAACACAUGCAAGUCGAACGGUAACAGGAAGCAGCUUGCUGCUUCGCUGACGAGUGGCGGACGGGUGAGUAAUGUCUGGGAAACUGCCUGAUGGAGGGGGAUAACUACUGGAAACGGUGGCUAAUACCGCAUAACGUCGCAAGACCAAAGAGGGGGACCUUCGGGCCUCUUGCCAUCAGAUGUGCCCAGAUGGGAUUAGCUUGUUGGUGAGGUAACGGCUCACCAAGGCGACGAUCCCUAGCUGGUCUGAGAGGAUGACCAGCCACACUGGAACUGAGACA